rnacentral:miRNA from 1 species
CAACAGUCGGGACAGCAUCUCG